GAUGAACGCUGGCGGCGUGCCUAAUACAUGCAAGUCGAGCGAACAGACGAGGAGCUUGCUCCUCUGACGUUAGCGGCGGACGGGUGAGUAACACGUGGAUAACCUACCUAUAAGACUGGGAUAACUUCGGGAAACCGGAGCUAAUACCGGAUAAUAUAUUGAACCGCAUGGUUCAAUAGUGAAAGACGGUUUUGCUGUCACUUAUAGAUGGAUCCGCGCCGCAUUAGCUAGUUGGUAAGGUUACGGCUUACCAAGGCAACGAUGCGUAGCCGACCUGAGAGGGUGAUCGGCCACACUGGAACGGAGACACGGUCCGUACUCCUACGGGAGGCAGCAGUAGGGAAUCUUCCGCGAUGGGCGAAAGCCUGACGGAGCAACGCCGCGUGAGUGAUGAAGGUCUUCGGAUCGUAAAACUCUGUUAUUAGGGAAGAACAAAUGUGUAAGUAACUAUGCACGUCUUGACGGUACCUAAUCAGAAAGCCACGGCUAACUACGUG
rnacentral:rRNA from 1 species